rnacentral:rRNA from 1 species
GACGAACGCUGGCGGCGUGCUUAACACAUGCAAGUCGAACGGAAUCGCCCUGCUUUUUUGGGGUGCUCUGAUUGCGACCUGGUGAGUUACCCUUUAGUUCCCUGCCCUUCACUUUGGGAUAACUUCAUGAAACUUGUGCUCAUACCGGAUAGGAUCUCCUGCUGCAUGGUCGGGGUUGGACUGUUUCGGCGGUUGGUGAUGUACCCGCUGCUUAUCAGAUUGUUGGUUGGGUAGUGUCUUAGCAAGGCUUUGACGGGUAGCCGGGCUGAGAGGGUGACCGGACAAAUUGGGACUGAAAUAAGGCACAGACCACUAUGGGAGGGAGGAGUGGAGAAUAUUGUACAAUGGGCGGAAGCAUGAUGUAGCAAAGCCGCGUGCGGGAUAACGGGCAGCGGUUUGUAAACCGAUAUCGUUUGUGACGAAGCGAGAGUGACGGUAAUGGGUAAAGAAGCACCGGCUAACUACGUG